AGGCCAUGAUGUGGACACUUGCGUAAUAGUUCCUUGAACCUUUCCCAAGUUUCAUAUAAGGAUUCCCCGUCCUCUUGUGAAAAAUGUAUUAAUUUCAGUCU
rnacentral:snoRNA from 2 species